rnacentral:sRNA from 1 species
UUCACAGCCCUGGAGACCAAAGUCCUCUAUUUAGGCACAGGACAGGUAUAGCACAAACAGUAGCAGCAGAAGCUUCCCACACACUGGCCUGCCAAUGUGCUUCGACCCUGCUCCAGAGGGAUCCCCUCGCGAGGAGAGAGAGGGAGGAAAUUUAAUUCAAGAGCCAAAGAGGGCAGGAGAAUUU